rnacentral:rRNA from 1 species
AGAGUUUGAUCCUGGCUCAGGACGAACGCUUGCGGCGUGCCUAAGAAAUGCAAGUCGAGCGGGGACUAGCGCUGUCCAAAGCUUCGGCAGAGGACUUGCUAGUUCUAGCGGCGAACGGUCGCGUAACACGUAAGCAACCUGCCCCAAAGACUGGGAUAACCCGCCGAAAGGCGGACUAAUACCGGAUGUGGCCCGUCUGGCGCAUGCCAGAUUGGUUAAAGGGAGCAAUCCGCUUUGGGAUGGGCUUGCGGCCUAUCAGCUAGUUGGUGAGGUAGCGGCCCACCAAGGCGACGACGGGUAGCUGGCCUGAGAGGGUGGCCAGCCGGAUUGGGACUGAGAUACGGCCCAGACUCCUACGGGAGGCAGCAAUUAGGAAUCUUGCGCAAUGGGCGAAAGCCUGACGCAGCGACGCCGCGUGAGCGAUGAAGUCUUUCGGGAUGUAAAGCUCUGUCCUGCGGGGAAGAAGGAUGUGACGGUACCCGCAGAGAAAGCCCCGGCUAACUACGUGCCAGCAGCCGCGGUAAUACGUAGGGGGCGAGCGUUGUCCGAAUUUACUGGGCGUAAAGCGCGUGUAGGCGGCCCUCUAAGUGAGAUGUGAAAUCCUGCGGCUCAACCACAGAACUGCAUUUCAAACUGGAGAGCUUGAGUUUGGGAGAGGAGAGUGGAAUUCCUGGUGUAGCGGUGAAAUGCGUAGAUAUCAGGAGGAACACCCGUGGCGAAGGCGGCUCUCUGGCCCAACACUGACGCUGAGACGCGAAAGCUAGGGGAGCGAACGGGAUUAGAUACCCCCGGUAGUCCUA